rnacentral:tRNA from 1 species
GCCUGGUUAGCUUACUUGGUAGUGCGUCUGCCUUGUAAGCGCUAGGCCGCGGGUUCGAUUCCCGUAACAGGGG